rnacentral:rRNA from 1 species
AGUUUGAUCCUGGCUCAGAUUGAACGCUGGCGGCAGGCCUAACACAUGCAAGUCGAACGGUAACAGAGAGUAGCUUGCUACUUUGCUGACGAGUGGCGGACGGGUGAGUAAUGUCUGGGGAUCUGCCUGAUGGAGGGGGAUAACUACUGGAAACGGUAGCUAAUACCGCAUAAUGUCGCAAGACCAAAGCGGGGGACUUUCGGGCCUCGCACCAUCAGAUGAACCCAGAUGGGAUUAGCUAGUAGGUAAGGUAAUGGCUUACCUAGGCGACGAUCCCUAGCUGGUCUGAGUGGAUGACCAGCCACACUGGAACUGAGACACGGUCCAGACUCCUACGGGAGGCAGCAGUGGGGAAUAUUGCACAAUGGGCGCAAGCCUGAUGCAGCCAUGCCGCGUGUAUGAAGAAGGCCUUCGGGUUGUAAAGUACUUUCAGUCAGGAGGAAGGGUGUGAAAUUAAUACUUUCAUGCAUUGACGUUACUGACAGAAGAAGCACCGGCUAACUCCGUGCCAGCAGCCGCGGUAA